UUCCUCUCAGGGUUGCUCCUGGGGAGUUUCCAGUACUCUACCAGUCUCAGCUAUGGGAGGAAGAGUCAAGCAGAGGCCUACUCAUUCCAAUCCUAGCUUGGGCAGUGGCUAGUGAGUGGAAGGCAAUAUGCUACAAGU